AGUAACACGUGGGUAACCUGCCUGUAAGACUGGGAUAACUCCGGGAAACCGGGGCUAAUACCGGAUGGUUGUCUGAACCGCAUGGUUCAGACAUAAAAGGUGGCUUCGGCUACCACUUACAGAUGGACCCGCGGCGCAUUAGCUAGUUGGUGAGGUAACGGCUCACCAAGGCGACGAUGCGUAGCCGACCUGAGAGGGUGAUCGGCCACACUGGGACUGAGACACGGCCCAGACUCCUACGGGAGGCAGCAGUAGGGAAUCUUCCGCAAUGGACGAAAGUCUGACGGAGCAACGCCGCGUGAGUGAUGAAGGUUUUCGGAUCGUAAAGCUCUGUUGUUAGGGAAGAACAAGUGCCGUUCAAAUAGGGCGGCACCUUGACGGUACCUAACCAGAAAGCCACGGCUAACUACGUGCCAGCAGCCGCGGUAAUACGUAGGUGGCAAGCGUUGUCCGGAAUUAUUGGGCGUAAAGGGCUCGCAGGCGGUUUCUUAAGUCUGAUGUGAAAGCCCCCGGCUCAACCGGGGAGGGUCAUUGGAAACUGGGGAACUUGAGUGCAGAAGAGGAGAGUGGAAUUCCACGUGUAGCGGUGAAAUGCGUAGAGAUGUGGAGGAACACCAGUGGCGAAGGCGACUCUCUGGUCUGUAACUGACGCUGAGGAGCGAAAGCGUGGGGAGCGAACAGGAUUAGAUACCCUGGUAGUCCACGCCGUAAACGAUGAGUGCUAAGUGUUAGGGGGUUUCCGCCCCUUAGUGCUGCAGCUAACGCAUUAAGCACUCCGCCUGGGGAGUACGGUCGCAAGACUGAAACUCAAAGGAAUUGACGGGGGCCCGCACAAGCGGUGGAGCAUGUGGUUUAAUUCGAAGCAACGCGAAGAACCUUACCAGGUCUUGACAUCCUCUGACAAUCCUAGAGAUAGGACGUCCCCUUCGGGGGCAGAGUGACAGGUGGUGCAUGGUUGUCGUCAGCUCGUGUCGUGAGAUGUUGGGUUAAGUCCCGCAACGAGCGCAACCCUUGAUCUUAGUUGCCAGCAUUCAGUUGGGCACUCUAAGGUGACUGCCGGUGACAAACCGGAGGAAGGUGGGGAUGACGUCAAAUCAUCAUGCCCCUUAUGACCUGGGCUACACACGUGCUACAAUGGACAGAACAAAGGGCAGCGAAACCGCGAGGUUAAGCCAAUCCCACAAAUCUGUUCUCAGUUCGGAUCGCAG
rnacentral:rRNA from 1 species